rnacentral:lncRNA from 13 species
GAUGUAAGUUGGUAAGAAUGAGUAUCUGCUCACUAUUUUCGUAUGGUAGCAUUAUCUGUGUGUAGACCGGGACUUACCAGUUUAGCUUUGCUGUAGUGUUCGGGGUAUUCGUGAGCUUAGUCUAAUAAAUAUAUACAUUAUUGUGCACGAAACAUUUGCAUUAACAUUACGAUUUUUAAAAAGUUACUCUUAUACAAUUCAGCAAUAUCUUUUCAAGAUUGAUCAAAACGAUCCAUCAGCCUAAGAAAAGUUUGUGAAACUUUUACUGCAAAAAUUUAUACAGACAUUACGCCAUACAUAUAUCAAGAUACUAAUUACUAUCAAGAAAAAUGAUUUUACCUAAUAAUAUCGAGGAAUGGGUGGAUUUCAUUCUGAUGCUAUUAGGACCAAGGAGCAUUAACAGUUUACGUACAA